rnacentral:lncRNA from 1 species
UUCUCAUAUCUGAAAACGGUAAAUUUUGACUGACCUCGCAUGAUAUUUUUGAAUCAAAAUCCAACACGUGUACAUUAGUCCAAUUCCUAUUUAAUGGGCUAUUGGGGCCAUAGCCCCUGCAUGUUUCCUCUCGCUGCAUCCACAUGGAGACUGAUCUAAUGUCCCUUUCUUAUCUGUCCUUUCUUUCUUUUUUCAUUAAUUCAAAAGAGGUGAUCAGAUGUGGCGCACCCAUUGUAAUACCAUGGGAGCGUCCCUGAGGGCUCACUACAAUCACAUAAUUUUUUUCAAAUUAUGUCUUAUUUAUUUUUGAAAUCACUCAGCCACAAAAUAUGUGGCUGUGGUGAGGCCACGGAGGGCGCUCCCAUGAUAUUAUCACGGACACGCACCUAUCUGAUCACCACUCUUAAUUUAAUGCGAUGCUCGGAAAAGGUACAAUGGAGUCUUACACGAAUCUCGUAAGUGUUUGCAAUAGUUUAUCUCCUUUAAUUCAUAAACCAUAUAUAAUACUUUAUAUACCGAAGGCAUUAUGAAAUCUAAAAUAUUCCUAAAAUUAUAAUUUAGGUUCGAGUCAAAAAAUUCACAACUACGACCUACAAGCUGAUGAGAUACCAACAUACAUACACCACAAUCAUAUGGUCCUCACUGAUCUCUCUUCUCGACGCCUACACAUGCAUUAUAUGCGCAUAAAAUAUUUGAAGUGUUAAACUAAUCCCAUAUCAAAUAGUUUUGGGAAUACUCCACCUCAUGCUAAUGAUCUUUACUUUACAAUAACAAUUUGUACUACUACAAACAAUUCGCCUUGCUAGAUGCAUUAAAUUGAACUUUCAAGUUCCAAAUUUCUAUUUUGGGAAUUAAAAAGCUUUUUUAAUUGUGCUAUCUGAAAUGACCUUUGGUUUUAACACAUGUAAUAAUUAAAAAAUAUCUUAGCUUUAUCGCCAAAUAUGUGUGUUGAUGAUAUUAUCUAGGGGUGUCUGAAAAUUUAAAAAAAAAACGAUAAAUCAGAUCAAACCAAAUUGGAUCGAACCGUAUGGCUGGUGUGGUCCGGUUCUACGAUUUAGAUUGUUUCAAUACUAAUUUUAAAAAAUAUUAAAUUGGUCUAUAUAGUUCAGUCUUAGUUCUUUAUUUCAGAAUUGUGGUUCAAAAUAAACUGGGCCUGUUUUGUUAAGAACAGAGUUCUGUAACUGGAAUUGAUAUUGCUGAUAGCUGGAAGAAGAAAGAAGAAAAUAGAUUUCCCUAUUCGAGCUAGGGAUAAAGCUCUUAAAAGAACCAAGUAAAGACGGAAUUUUUCAUUCCCUUCUGAAUCAAUGUUACAUUCUUUAUAUUGCUGGACGUUUGACAAGAAUUCAAGGAAUGAUAUCUAACAGUUUUAAACACUAACUGAAUUAACCCAUUCUUGAUAUUGCCCAUGCUUCAGUUAUCUGUUAGCAUAGUUAUUUUGCCAUGCUUUACAUCAUGUUCCUGUCUUUUAAGUCUUAAUCUUUCAUUCAUUCUGGCCUUUUGAUACUCCUUCUUGUUCUAUCAUCCGCUACAAAGCUGUUCUCUCCUACUACCACUGCAUUCGUAACAUGUUUACGUACAUACAUAGCGUGUAUGUGUAAGUUAAACCCAUCCUAACCUUCCUAAUUUAUUUUAUAUUGAGGUAUCAUUACUUAUUGUUUGAUGUUGUAUGAAUUUUUUGGGUUUUCGAUUUUUGCGGUUGUUAUGCUUAGUUUUUUCUAAAGUGGAAUGUUGUCAUGUUAUUUUAAAAUGUAGAUAGUUUAGAAUUUAAAUGUCAGGUAUAAAAUUUAGGAUGUUUGCCUGUGGCAUUUAUUCCAUUCGUCUCAUAGAACUUUUGUUAUUUUAGUUUGGAAUGUCCGAAAAUGUAUAUUCAAUUCGACAGUUAAUAACGAAAAUAUACAACUUUUCUCUUUUAGCCUUUUUUUUAUAAAUUAUUUAAGUAAUAUCAACCAAAACAAAAAAUUAAAUGUAAUAAUUACAGGGAUAAAAUUGGAGAGUCAAUAAAAAUUAAAUGUAAUAAUUAUAUUCCCUUAAAAAGGUUAACUCCCCGAAAUCACACUUCCGUUUGAGGUGGACGGAGUAGAUGUUAAAACUUGAAUGUUAUGUUUUGUUUAUACUGUGUUUAUGUUAUCGGUCUUAACAAUGAGGAUGAUAUUUUUGUCACACAUUAAUCUAAUAAUUAAUUCAAAAAAAAUAGAGAAAAGUUUGGGGACCUCGCAUAGAAUUAAAAGUGCGAGAAAAAAAUUGCAAUGUUUAGAGUAAAUUUCAAAAUAGUCCCUAUAAUUUUUUUUAACAUUGAUUUUGGUUCUUAUAUUUUUAAAUCCCAUGAUUUUAACCUUGUAUUUUAAUUUACAUGCCUAAUCAAUUUAAUUGAUAACCAAAGUUAAGUUGUUGGACAUAUUUUCAAUACAUUUUGAACAUAUGACUUCAUUUGAUGGCAAUUUAUAGUUGGAUUUAUCAAAUUAUAAUAGAAUUUAAGCAAUUUACAGUGAGAAUAGGAAAA